GUAUAACAGGUGCAGAGGGGAGGGUACUCACCAUUCGCAGAAGGAACAGGCUGGAACAGUUUUCCCUCCCUCCCCUAUGUUUGUUAUGUUUGUUGGUGUUUUCUGUGAUGUUGUUUUGUUUCUGUUCUCUUUUUGUCACAGUUAAGGCAGAGUUCCUGGCCAGCGCAAAUAAUGCACGAGACAAGGCUUUGGGGAGUCGCAGCCUGCUAGGGCUGAUGGCAGAAGGCAGGCUGUACGAACUCUGGAAUUACACGGUUUUAUCUGUCUGUUGGGUAGUCACCCCAACAGCUGACAGGUGGUGGUAAUGCUGGCGGUGUUUAAAAGUUGAAUCAAUAAAGCUGUGGCC